rnacentral:tRNA from 1 species
GUCUUUGUGGCCUAAUCGAUAAGGCACCGGCCUCUUAAACCGGUGAUUGCUGGUUCGAGUCACGUCAGACGUA